UUCUGGCCAGUUUCAUAGCGCGCGCGGCUAGCUGUGGCCCUUGGCCAUCGGGCAUCCAUCGGUGCCUCCCCACCAGCAGAGAGCAGAGAAAUUAAAAGCGCGCAUGCGCCGCCGCCGGCUUCGUCAACGGACAGAUCGAGGUCUGCGGUCUGCCCUCCUCUCCCCUUCAAACAGAAAGAGUCAAGAAAAGCGCAGGAGAGAGAGAGAGAGAAAAAAAAAAGGGCGCGGGCCGGGGCGAGGAGGAAAGUCCACCGCUCGUCGGCGACAAGUCGCUGCGAGGUUGUGAAACCGACAAUUCAUUCAUUCAUGGGAUCGGAGCAAGUUGCAGGUUGCGCGCGGAUCUCGAACUUUUCCCUUGCGGCUCCGCAGAGAUCGAUCGCGAGUGGCUGCGCUGAGGUCAAUCCCGCACGUUAUACUCGCGGGGUCUCUUAUCUUAAAAUUGCCUUUUUGGGAUUAUUAUCGAGUUAUCCAUAUCCAGCUAGCCAUGUAUGUCAUGGGUGCCACUUGUACCAAAUAAGCUAGGUAGAGCUAGGGCAGCACACGCUGCUUCCAGGCAGCUUCCGAUCGAGGGCGAGGGCCACGAAGAGCUGAGGUGUCUCAGUUCGGCUGGGUUCCACAAACACUGGCGCUUGCGGCUUCAAGUGUCACGGGACUGACACGCUCAUCAGCCACUAGCUAGCUUGUCUCUAGCUACUACUUACUUUCUCCGAUUUCCACCGCGAUCGCGAUUCACAGGCGCCGCGCAACAGUCGCCGCAGAUGAACCAGAUCCUACCUGCCCGCCCGGCCGGCGCUUUAUAGUUUUCUGGCACGCGGCACCGGGAUACAUGUCAUGUAGCCACGUUUCGCAGUUGGCACCGGGGCGCAUUAGCAGCGAAGCUUUGCACGAUGCGUCGUCAUCGUCACCGGAGGCAUGCAACUUGCCGUUUUGGCUACGGCGGUGGUCAGCUGAUCGACGACCAUGCAUGCAUAUACUAUACGUACGCCUUUAAAAGGCUCCACUGUUGGUAGCAAGGCUCUGUCGUCUGGGUCAUGCAAUACCUGAUGCUGAUGCGGCCAACCAAACACGUAGAAAGAGUCGGGAUUUCGGCCGUGUACUCCAUCAGGUGAUGUUGAGUUCGAACGUUUGCUCCCAGAUAGACCUGAACCGUGUUUUCUGAGGACCAGGACACGUUUUAUUAUGGCCCAGGGGACGACCAUAUCAUGCAUUGGAUCUCGGCAGAAUGGGCUGCAUGGCUCAACUCGAAUUCAAGCUAAGAUGCCGUUUUGUAUGCACUUUCAUGGGCUGCAUGCUAUUGCUCAGAGUGCUUUUUUCACAGCUGCUGCCAAUUUGACCGGUGUCUUUCAGGAGCACCGUUCUUCACAGAACCAACUUGAGAGAUUUCUUUCUCACAAUGCGGGAACGAUCAGCUCACAUAGACAUCUGCUCUUUGAGAUCUGGAUUUCGUCUCAUACUUCGAUGUCCCAUAUAUAUAUUAGUGUGUACUUGUACGUAUAUAAUAUGACCAUUGAAACUGUAAACUGUUUUGGGCAUCCUGUAAUUUGUAAGAACGACUCUUCUAUGCAAAUCUCCAACUUGUAGAAUGGAUUGGCUACUGUUGCAAACCAUUGUACUACAAUGGUACUGUUGCGCAUUCUUGCUUCCAACUGCACUUGCAACAGUUUUGUAUAGUUACCCAAGGACAAAAAAAAUGUGUGUUCCUUUGAGCUUUCAGCUGUCUCUAACAUAUAAUGAUUUUUCAUUCAACUCUUCCUGUUUCCCCCCUUCCAAGAAGAUAAGCAAACGAAUUUCAGGAUCUCCUAAAGACAAAAAAAA